rnacentral:rRNA from 1 species
CCUACGGGAGGCAGCAGUGGGGAAUCUUCCGCAAUGGGCGAAAGCCUGACGGAGCAACGCCGCGUGAUCGAAUGAAGGCCUUCGGGUUGUAAAGAUCUGUUGACAGGGACGAAUAAGCCAUGCGAAUAGUUUGGUGUAUGACGGUACCUGUUUAGAAAGCUCCGGCUAACUACGUGCCAGCAGCCGCGGUAAUACGUAGGGAGCAAGCGUUGUCCGGAAUUACUGGGCGUAAAGGGCGCGUAGGUGGGUGCUUAAGUCAGGUGUGAAAGCUCUGGGAUCAACCUGGAGACUGCACUUGAAACUGGGGAUCUUGAGGGCAGGUGAGGAAAGUGGAAUGUCUAGUGUAGCGGUGAAAUGCGUAGAUAUUAGGAGGAACACCAGUGGCGAAGGCGACUUUCUGGACUGUACCUGACGCUGAGGCGCGAAAGCGUGGGUAGCGAACGGGAUUAGAUACCCCAGUAGUC